rnacentral:misc_RNA from 1 species
UCUCCGUAGGUGAACCUGCGGAGGGAUCAUUACAAGAGCGAACGGGGGGAUCCGUCCCCCUGAACCUCCAACCCCAUGUUUUCCGACUCUGUUGCCUCGGGGGCGACCCGGCCCUCUGGGCGUCGGGGCCCCCGGUGGCUCACACCUCAACUCUUGCAUCUGUGCGUCUGAGUAACAUAUUGAAUCAAUCAAAACUUUCAACAACGGAUCUCUUGGUUCUGGCAUCGAUGAAGAACGCAGC